CCAACAUCUAAACAGGCAGGAGAAAACAGUUAGAACUACAUGCUUGUAUUUCUAACAGAGUGCUCCUUUAAGAAACCCACUACUGUCUGCAACUUAGCAAGUUAACUAUUGAUCAUGGCUUUGAGUUUUCUAAAGGGGGCUUUGAUCUCAUCAUUACCUUUAAAUAUAAGAUCAACAGAAGUACUAAUAACAUGUUUUCCAGGGUACCAGGUCUCGUUAAACACACAGAAAUGGGAUCUGAGAUGUGUAUUCCUGCAAGUAAGGUGAAAUCUUUAGAUCUCCU